rnacentral:tRNA from 1 species
UCCACCUGGUAUGGUGGUUAUGACACUCGACUUGUAAUCGAGUGAGCUCGGGUUCGAAUCCCGAAUAAGGCAUGGAU